UUUAAAUUAUUGUUAUCUUUAAAUAUUUUUUCCUGUUUCUUAUUCGGUUUUAUUUUUCAGAAUAUUCUCUUUGUGUUCAGUGUACUUCUUAAAUCUGUUGGCACCACCUUUACUUUGUUUGUAUUACUGGUGCUGUCUUUGUACCUUGUCUGUAUGGCAUUAUAUGUUUGUUUGUCUCUACACUAUGUUCUUGCUGCUGUACCAAAAUUUCCACCGGGUUCAAUAAAGUGCAUCUUAAUCUUAAUCUUAAUCCAGAUCCUCCCAAACUGAAACUUCUCCUGCUAAGGUCAGGUCACCGGCCUCAUUAAGUCAUUAAGCGAGCGCAGUGUGAGUCAGAUAUUAACUGUCCACACCAUUUCUGCCUUUAAGGUUUAGUCUUCUUAUGCUGUAACAAUGUACUCUUAUUAUUACAAAAUGCUUACUUUGUGAAGCAUACACAUAAUUGGUAGUUAGGAAGAAUGGUUUCCACUUUCAAAAAAACAGCAGAACAGAACAAUAAAAGGUGAUGCUUUAUAUUAACUGCACCUUCAUAAUGCAUUCAUUAUACAGGCAUAAAACAUUCAGUCCACCUUCAUAAUGCAUUCAUUAUACAGGCAUAAAACAUUCAGUCCACCUUCAUAAUGCAUUCAUUAUACAGGCAUAAAACAUUCAGUCCACCUUCAUAAUGCAUUCAAAAUGCAUUUAUUCAAGCAUCCAGAGACCAUCCAUGUCUGGGGUUGCUUCUCAUCUAAGGGAGUGGGCUCACUCACAGUUCUGCCCAAAAACAUUGCCAUGAAUAAAGAAUGGUAUGAAAACGUCCAAAAGAAACCAACGAAGGGCAACUUCUUCUUCAGAAAACCAUAGAAACACAUAAAGAAAAUCUAAAAAUGCUGAAGCAGCAAAGCACAAAAUCUGUAACAUAACAGCUGCAGUAUAUAAUAAUAACAAACAUCAUAUGAUAAAAACAAAUAGUAUACUCUAUAUACAGAUGCUCCUCUACUUACGAACUUUCAUACAUACGAACGAAGAGGACCGUACGCAGAGGUGGGUAGUAACGCGUUACAUUUACUCCGUUACAUUUACUUAAGUAACUUUUUGGAAAAAUUGUACUUGUAAGAGUAGUUUUAAUGCAUGAUACUUUUACUCUUACUUGAGUAAGAAAUUUCAAGAAGAAACGGUACUUUUACUCCGUUAUUCUAAGACAUAUGUUGCUCGCUAUUCGCUACUUUCAUUUUAAUAAUCUGUUAUUCGCUACACAGGUGAUUUUUUUUUGUCAUACUAGUCCAAGGGUUCUGUCACAUGAUUCUUUUUCGCCAAUCAAAUGGAGCCAUACAGUCACAUGACCACACAAAAUUUACGCGGCGCUGCACAGAGCAGUGACUGAAAGGAGAAUACAAUGGCGCAAACAACGGCGUGUGAUUUUGAACCAGAAGAAGCAGAACACUCCUGGCCUCACAUUCGAUCAAUGUUUUCAUUACAGACUAUAAAACAGAACAGCUAUGUCAUGCGCUGUCUUACGUGUCUGCCUAAGCGUGUCGACAUUUCAACCUACAAGAACUCGACUUCGAACUUGAGGAAGCACGUUGCGUUGCAGUUUUGUCCAGCCCAUUUGACCCAUUUUCAACAAAUAAGACAAAGAGGAUCCUGGAAAGAGACCCAGAUCAGUAAGUGAAGUGAAAGUUCAUAAAUCUACCAUCAGCUGGCUAUCACCUGGAUUGAUGCCAGCUAAAGAGCCCUCUCCAGUUCCGGCUGACUUUAGGAUACCAAUCCACACUCUUAUUUGGAUCAGCCCUGUGGCAGAUGCACUGAAGCUUACGUUGAAGUUUUCCUGGAUUGAACACAGAUUUGUAGUAAGAUGAACUUUAGAGAAGCAGUUCACAUGGUGCCCUGUAUGUGUAGAAUGUAAAACUUAGACAAGGGAUAAAUUAAUGUGCCGUAAUUCUUUAUGUUAAAAAACACCUAUUCUAGCCAUUAUGUAACUAUAGCUAUAAAAAAGAAUAUGGCUAAAGUAUGAUACUGGAUUAAUAAACCACAGUGGAAU